AUGAAGACAUGCGUGGCCGUGGUGAAUCAAGCUAAGCUUGAGAUGCACGCGACCAAAUCCGAAGCUUUUUUUUUUACAUUCCAAAUCCGAAGCUUGAACCGACUCGGAGUGCAUUCCGAUUUCUUCACGAUCACUCACAUCAGCACACGGCUUCGAUCUCAGCACAUAUCACUUCACAAGUUAAAAGGCCUUGCCCUCUGUCUUCUCCAGCGCACUUCCAAUCUUCCCCAUCGUCUCCUCUCCUCUCCUCCACCGCAUCCUCUCGCAUCUUCCGCUGUUCCCAUGGAGAUUGCCGACUGGAACCGGGAGCCCUUCAGCUUCAGCAUCAUGUCCGGCUCCCGCCGAAAGCGCCCGCGCCCGCUGGAGAUCCUUCGCCAGCGGUUCCAGUCAGAGCUCGCCGAGGCGGCCACCGUGCUUCCCGCCUCGUCCCCGUCGGCUCCCCGCGUGCGCGUCAAGGACGAUCGUCCAGCCGAGGAGCCCCCAGCCAAGAAGAGGAAGGCGUCCCAUGCCGUUCCCGUGAAGAAGAUGACGUCCAAGGAGCGGAACCAACUCUACGGGGACCUCACCAAGCUAGCCAAGCUGUCUGAAUCCCAUGUACUCCCUGCUCAUAUCCUGGAGCUGCUGAAGAAGCACAGCCGCCGCGGCAUCUGCCACGAUUACAUCAAGAUCGAGAUGCUCGACGUCCAAGACGAGGCCCUUGUGGAGAUGCAGAAGCAGCUGGACAAGUUCCUUCGAGAGAGGGCGAAUCCAUCGACGCAUCAUCAACACAAACAGAUGAUGGCCCAAGAGGAGGAGGAGGACGAAGACGUUGACAUCGUCGGCGGCGUCUCCCCUUUGCCGAUGCCAGUGCAGCUCGUCCAAGACAUCUGCGGCGACGCCUCACCGGUGAAGAAUCUUGGCCAAGGUGAAAACAUCAGCGGCAGCAGCGGUUCGGAUUCUGAUUCAUCUCACCAGAGCGUCGACAGUCGUCCAGCUCCGGCAGAGCGCGCCGCCAACACUACGCCUCCAACGCGCGACCUGAUCGCCCGUGCCAACGAGAUUUUGGAAAGGCGGCGAAAGGAGGAGACGUCCCGGGCGAGGGAGAAGGCCCGACAGGAGGUGCUCGAGAUGGAGAGGGCGGCAAUGCCGAAGGACACCCUAGACGAGGACGUGAAGGCCCUCAGCAUUGAUCAGCACAACACGGCCAGGCCUGACAACUUGUUGCGACGGAUUGGACUCUUCCUCAGGCUUGACGACCACGACUUGAAGCAGCAGCAUCAUAAUCAAAGCUUCCAAGAAGAUUUAGAGGAAGGGGAGAUUCGGUUGUGA
rnacentral:rRNA from 1 species